GUGGGGAAUUUUGGACAAUGGGCGCAAGCCUGAUCCAGCCAUUCCGCGUGCAGGAUGAAGGCCUUCGGGUUGUAAACUGCUUUUGUACGGAACGAAAAGCCUCUGGUUAAUACCCGGGGGUCAUGACGGUACCGUAAGAAUAAGCACCGGCUAACUACGUGCCAGCAGCCGCGGUAAUACGUAGGGUGCAAGCGUUAAUCGGAAUUACUGGGCGUAAAGCGUGCGCAGGCGGUUAUAUAAGACAGAUGUGAAAUCCCCGGGCUCAACCUGGGAACUGCAUUUGUGACUGUAUAGCUAGAGUACGGUAGAGGGGGAUGGAAUUCCGCGUGUAGCAGUGAAAUGCGUAGAUAUGCGGAGGAACACCGAUGGCGAAGGCAAUCCCCUGGGCCUGCACUGACGCUCAUGCACGAAAGCGUGGGGAGCAAACAGGAUUAGAUACCCCAGUAGUCC
rnacentral:rRNA from 1 species